rnacentral:tRNA from 1 species
AGGGGAAGGUCCAACCAAUAAGAACUGCUAACUCUUAUGCCUGAGCAUAACACCUCAGUCCCCUU